GGUGGUUAGAACUGGAAGACGGAUGGAACCAGUUUCCUCGUUGAGAACACAACCAUGCAACAUAUGUAACCUGACACCAAAUUCUUGCUCUGGGACAGAUCAUGCUGUAUGUGGAUGGAAUGAACGGCCUCAUAAGUCACAACGAAACCGUCCAAUGGCUUUACACACUCGUUGGAUCCAAGUUCCGUCUGGUAGUGAAGACAGCUCUGAAACUGUUACUGGUGUUUGUGGAGUACACUGAACCCAACACUGCCCUGCUCAUCCAUGCUGUCAACACC